GGAUUUUGCCGGCGUACCCGGAACGGUUUCCUCAGCUUUGGUUGGGCGGGGGAGGGUUGCGCAGCGGCGCGUUCUGGGAGCCAAAGAGACUGAGAUCUUCCCGGGCUCUUGAGAGUGUUACCUCUUUCGCGGCAACAAUGGCUCGGGUGUCUCGCUCGCGCAGCCCGGAGUGGGAAGCGUCGCAGUUCGUCGAAGAGCCCCGAGCCCGCGGGGCGGCCGCUCUCGUUCGCACUCUUGCUCUCGGCCCGGGGACCGGAAUGGCCUCGGCCAUCAGCUGGGUGGCCUCAGCCGAGGCUCCCGAAACCAGCUCUGCGGCCCUGGCUUGCAGUGUCGUUCGCGAGAGCGUCCCUCGGCACCUCGGUGCGCCCCUUCCGCUUCUGCGUCCUCGUCCGCUGAGCGCUGCCACCACUCGCGCCGCUGCGGGAGCGACGAGCCGGGACCCAGCCUCCUGGACCGGGAGGAGAGGACACAGAGAAGAGGCCACGUGAGGACACAGCAAGAAGGUGGCCGUCUACAAGCCAGGAAGAGAGGUCUCACCAGAAACCAACACUGAUGUCACCUUGAUCUUGCAUUUCUUUUUUUUUUUUUAAUUUUAUUUUUUUUUAUUUAUUUUUUUAAACAGCAGGUUCUUAUAAGCUAUCCAUUUUAUACAUAUUAGUGUAUAUAUGUCAAUCCCAAUCUCCCAAUUCAUCCCACCACCACCACCACCCCCCGCCACUUUCCCCCCUAGGUGUCCACACGUUUGUUCUGUACAUCAGUGUCUCAAUUUCUGCUCUGCAAACUGGUUCAUCUGUACCAUUUUUCUAGGUUCCACAUAUAUGCGUUAAUAUACGAUAUUUGUUUUUCUCUUUCUGACUUACUUCACUCUGUAUGACAGUCUCUAGAUCCAUCCACGUCUCUACAGAUGACUCAAUUUCGUUCCUUUUUAUGGCUGAGUAAUAUUCCAUUGUAUAUAUGUACCACAUCUUCUUUAUCCAUUCGUCUGUCAAUGGGCAUUUAGGUUGCUUCCAUGUCCUGGCUAUUGUAAAUACUGCUGCAAUGAACAUUGGAUGCAUGUGUCUUUUUGAAUUACGGUUUUCUCUGGGUAUAUGCCCAGUAGUGGGAUUGCUGGGUCAUAUGGUAAUUCUAUUUUUAGUUUUUUAAGGAACCUCCAUACUGUUCUCCAUAGUGGCUGUAUCAAUUUACAUUCCCACCAACAGUACAAGAGGGUUCCCUUUUCUCCACACCCUCUCCAACAUUUAUUGUUUGUAGAUUUUUUUAUGAUGGCCAUUCUGACUGGUCUGAGGUGAUAUCUCAUUGUAGUUUUGGUUUGCAUUUCUCUGAUGAUUAGUGAUGUUGAGCAUCCUUUCAUGUGUUUGUUGGCAAUCUGUAUAUCUUCUUUGGAGAAAUAUCUAUUUAGGUCUUCUGCCCAUUUUUGGAUUGGGUUGUUUGUUUUUUUGAUAUUGAGUUGCAUGAGCUGCUUGUAAAUUUUGGAGAUUAAUCCUUUGUCAGUUGCUUCAUUGGCAAAUAUUUUCUCCCAUUCUGAGGGUUGUCUUUUCGUCUUGUUUAUGGUUUCCUUUGCUGUGCAAAAGCUUUGAAGUUUCAUUAGGUCCCAUUUGUUUAUUUUUGUUUUUAUUUGCAUUACUCUAGGAGGUGGAACAAAAAAGAUCUUGCUGCAAUUUAUCUCAAAGAGUGUUCUUCCUGUGUUUUCCUCUAAGAGUUUUAUAGUGCCCGGUCUUACAUUUAGGUCUCUAAUCCAUUUUGAGUUUAUAUUUGUGUAUGGUGUUAGGGAGUGUUCUAAUUUCAUUCUUUUACAUGUAGCUGUCCAGUUUUCCCACCACCACUUAUUGAAGAGACUGUCUUUUCUCCAUUGUACAUCCCUGCCUCCUUUGUCAUAGAUUAGUUGACCAUAGGUGUGUGGGUUUAUCUCUGAGCUUUCUAUCCUGUUCCAUUGAUCUAUAUUUCUGUUUUUGUGCCAGUACCAUAUUGUCUUGAUUACUGUAGCUUUGUAGAAUAGUCUGAAGUCAGGGAGUCUGAUUCCUCCAGCUCCGUUUUUUUCCCUCAAGACUGCUUUGGAUAUUCGGGGUCUUUUGUGUCUCCAUACAAAUUUUAAGAUGAUUUGUUCUAGUUCUGUAAAACAUGCCAUUGGUAAUUUGAUAGGGAUUGCACUGAAUCUGUAGAUUGCUUUGGGUAGUAUAGUCAUUUUCACAAUGUUGAUUCUUCCAAUCCAAGAGCAUGGUAUAUCUCUCCAUCUGUUAGUAUCAUCUUUAAUUUCUUUCACCAGUGUCUUAUAGUUUUCUGCAUACAGGUCUUUUGUCUCUCUAGGUAGGUUUAUUCCUAGGUAUUUUAUUCUUUUUGUUGCCAUGGUAAAUGGGAGUGUUUCCUUAAUUUCUCUUUAAGAUUUUUCAUCAUUAAUGUAUAGGAAUGCAAGAGAUUUCUGUGCAUUAAUUUUGUAUCCUGCAACUUUACCAAGUUCAUUGAUUAGCUCUAGCAGUUUUCUGGUAGCAUCUUUAGGAUUCUCUAUGUAUAGUAUCAUGUCAUCUGCAAACAGAGACAGCUUUACUUCUUCUUUUCCAAUUUGGAUUCCUUUUAUUUCUUUUUCUUCUCUGAUUGCCAUGGCUAGGACUUCCAAAACUAUGUUGAAUGAUAGUGGUGAGAGUGGACAUCCUUGUCUCGUUCCUGAUCUUCGAGGAAAUGCUUUCAGUUUUUCACCAUUGAGAAUGAUGUUCGCUGUGGGUUUGUCAUAUAUGGGCUUUAUUAUGUUGAGGGAGGUUCCCUCUAUGCCCACUUUCUGGAGAGUUUUUAUCAUGAAUGCGUGUUGAAUUUUGUCAAAAGCUUUUUCUGCAUCUAUUGAGAUGAUCAUAUGGAUUUUAUUUUUCAAUUUCUUAAUAUGGUGAAUCACAUUGAUUGAUUUGUGUAUAUUGAAGAAUCCUUGCAUCCCUGGGAUAAAUCCCACUUGACCAUGGUGUAUGAUCCUUUUAAUGUGUUGUUGGAUUCUGUUUGCUAGUAUUUUGUUGAGGAUUUUUGCAUCUAUAUUCAUCAGUGAUAUUGGUCUGUAAUUUUCUUUUUUUGUAGUAUCUUUGUCUGGUUUUGGUAUCAGGGUGAUGGUGGCCUCAUAGAAUGAGUUUGGGAGUGUUCCUUCCUCUACAAUUUUUUGGAAGAGUUUGAGAAGGAUGGAUGUUAGCUCUUCUCUAAAUGUUUGAUAGAAUUCACCUGUGAAGCCAUCUGGUCCUGGACUUUUGUUUGUUGGAAGUUUUUUUUAAAUUAAUUUAUUUAUUUUUAUUUUUAUUUUUGGCUGCGUUGGGUCUCCAUCGCUGCGUGCGGGUCUCCCUUCAGCCGUGGCGAGCAGGGGCCACUCCCCGGCGCGGCGUGCGGGCCUCUCGCCGCGGUGGCCUCUCCCGCUGAGGAGCACGGGCUCCAAGCGCAUGGGCCCCAGCAGCCGCAGCUCUUGGGCUCUAGAGCGCAGGCCCAGCAGUUUUGGCGCGCGGGCCCAGCCGCUCCGUGGCAUGUGGGAUCCUCCCAGACCAGGGCUCGAACCCGUGUCCCCCGCAUUGGCAGGCGGACUCCUAAUCACUGUACCACCAGGGAAGUCCUGUUGGAAGAUCUUUAAUCAGUUUCAAUUUCAUUACUUGUGAUUGGUCUGUUCAUAUUUUCUAUUUCUUCCUGGUUCAGUCUUGGAAGGUUAUACCUUUCUAAGAAUUUGUCCGUUUCUUCCAGGUUGUCCAUUUUAUUGGCAUAGAGUUGCUUGUGAUAGUGUCCUAGGAUGCUUUAUAUUUCUGCGGUGUCUGUUGUAACUUCUCCUUUUUCAUCUCUAAUUUUAUUGAUCUGAGUCCUCUCCCUCUUUUUCUUGAUGAGUCUGGCUAAUGGCUUAUCAAUUUUGUUUAUCUUCUCAAAGAACCAGCUUCUAGUUUUAUUGAUUUAUGCUAUUGUCUUCUUUGUUUGUAUUUCAUUUAUUUCUGCUCUGAUCUUUAUGAUUUCUUUCCUUCUACUAACUUUGGGUUUUGUUUGUUCUUCUUUCUCUACUUCCUUUAGGUGUAAGGUUAGGUUGUUUAUUUGAGCUGUUUGUUGUUUCUUGAGGUAGGAUUGUAUUGCUGUAAACUUCCCUCUUAGAACUGCUUUUGCUGCGUCCCCUAGGUUUUGGAUUGUCGUGUUUUCAUUGUCAUUUGUCUCUAGGUAUUUUUUGAUUUCCUCUUUAAUUUCUUCAGUGAUCUCUUGGUUAUUUAGUAACGUAUUGUUUAGCCUCCAUGUGUUUGUGUUUUUUAUGUUUUUUUCCCUGUAAUUGAUUUCUAAUCUCAUAGCGUUGUGGUCAGAAAAGGUACUUGAUAUGAUUUCAGUUUUCUUAAAUUUACUGAGGCUUGAUUUGUGACCCAAGAUGUGAUCUAUCCUGGAGAAUGUUCCAUGCGCAGUUGAGAAGAAAGUGUAAUCUGCAGUUUUUGGAUGGAAUGUCCUAUAAAUAUCAGUUAAAUCUAUCUGGUCUAUUGUGUCAUUUAAAGCUUGUGUUUCCUUAUUAAUUUUCUGUUUGGAUGAUCUGUCCAUUGGUGUAAGUGAGGUGUUAAAGUCCCCCAUUAUUGUUGUGUUACUGUCGAUUUCCUCUUUUAGAGCUGUUAGCAGUUGCCUUAUGUAUUGAGGUGCUCCUAUGUCGGGUGCAUAUAUAUUUAUAAUUGUUAAAUCUUCUUCUUGGAUUGAUCCCUUGAUCAUUAUGUAGUGUCCUUCCUUGUCUCUUGUAACAUUCUUUAUUUUAAAGUCUAUUUUAUCUGAUAUGAGUAUAGCUACUCCAGCUUUCUUUUGAUUUCCAUUUGCAUGGAAUAUCUUUUUCCAUCCCCUCACUCUCAGUCUGUAUGUGUCCCUAGGUCUGAAGUGGGUCUCUUGUAGACAGCAUAUAUAUGGGUCUUGUUUUUGUAUCCAUUCAGCGAGCCUGUGUCUUUUGGUUGGAGCAUUUAAUCCAUUCAUGUUUAAGGGAAUUAUCGAUAUGUAUGUUCCUAUUACUGUUUUCUUAAUUGUUAUGGGUUUCUUUUUGUAGGUCCUUUUCUUCUCUUGUGUUUCCCACUUAGAGAAGUUCCUUUAGCAUUUGUUGUAGAGCUGAUUUGGUGGUGCUGAAUUCUCUUAGCUUUUGCUUGUCUGUAAAGCUUUUGAUUUCUCCAUCGAAUCUGAAUGAGAUCCUUGCCAGGUAGAGUAAUCUUGGUUGUAGGUUCUUCCCUUUCAUCCCUUUAAGUAUAUCAGGCCACUCCCUUCUGGCUUGUAGAGUUUCUGCUGAGAAAUCAGCUGUUAACCUUAUGGGAGUUCCCUUGUAUGUUAUUUGUCAUUUUUCCCUUGCUGCUUUCAAUAAUUUUUCUUUAAAUUUUGCUAAUUUGAUUACUGUGUGUCUCAGCGUGUUUCUCCUUGGGUUUAUCCUGUAUGGGACUCUCUGUGCUUCCUGCACUUGGGUGGCUAUUUCCUUUCCCAUGUUAGGGAAGUUUUUGACUAUAAUCUCUUCAAAUAUUUUCUCUGGUCCUUUCUCUCUCUCUUCUUCUUCUGGGACCCCUAUAAUGUGAAUGUUGUUGCGUUUAAUGUUGUCCCAGAGGUCUCUUAGACUGUCUUCAUUUCUUUUCAUUCUUUUUUCUUUAUUCUGUUCCGCAGCACUGAAUUCCAUGAUUCUGUCUUCCACAUCACUUAUCCAUUCUUCUGCCUCAGUUAUUCUGCAAUUGAUUCCUUCUAGGAAUUUGUAUUUUUCAUUUCAGUUAUUGUACUGUUCAUCUUUGUUUGUUUGUUCUUUAAUUCUUCUAGGUCUUUGUUAAACAUUUCUUGCAUCUUCUCUAUCUUUGCCUCCAUUCUUUCUCCGAGGUCCUGGAUCAUCUUCACUCUCAUUAUUCUGAAUUCUUUUUCUGGAAGGCUGUGUAUCUCCACUUCAUUUAGUUGUUUUUCUGGGGUUUUAUCUUGUUCCUUCAUCUGGUACAUAGCCCUCUGCCUUUUCAUCUUGUCUCUCUGUGAACAUGGCUUUUGUUCCACAGGCUGCAGGAUUGUAGUUCUUCUUGCCUCUGCUGUCUGCCCUCUGGUGGAUGAGGCUAUCUAAGAGGCUUGUGGAAGUUUCCUGAUGGGAGGGACUGGUGGUGGGUAGAGCUGGCUGUUGCUUGGUGGGCAGAGCUCAGUAAAACUUUAACCAGCUUGUCUGCUGAUGGGUGGGGCUGGGUUCUCUCCUUGUUGGUUGUUUGGCCUGAGGCGACCCAACACUGGAGCCUACCCAGGCUCUGGUGGGGCUAAUGGCGGACUCUGGGAGGGCUCACGCCAAGGAGGACUUCCCAGAACUUCUACUGCCAGUGUCCUUGUCCCUGUGGUGAGCCACAGCUUCCCCCUGCCUCUGCAGGAGACCCUCCAACACUAGCAGGUAGGUCUGGUUCAGUCUCCUAUGGGAUCACUCCUCCUUCCCCUAGGUCCUGAUGUGCACACUACUUUGUGUGUGCCCUCCAAGAGUGGAGUCUCUGUUUCCCCCAGUCCUCUCAAAGUCCUGCAAUCAAAUCCCGCUAGCCUUCAAAGUCUGAUUCUCUAGGAAUUCCUCCUCCCGUUGCCAGACCCCAAGGUUGGGAAGCCUGACAUGGGGCUCAGAACCUUCACUCCAGUGGGUGGACUUCUGUGGUAUAAGCAUUCUCCAGUUUGUGAGUCACCCACCUAGCAGUUAUGGGAUUUGAUUUUAUCGUGAUUGCGCCCCUCCUACCAUCUCAUUGUGGUUUCUCCUUUGUUUUUGGAUGUGGGGUAUCUUUUUUGGUGAGUUCCAGUGUCUUCCUGUCGAUGAUUGUUCAGCAGUUAGUUGUGAUUCCAGUGCUCUCGCAAGAGGGAGUGAGAGCACGUCCUUCUGCUCCGCCAUCUUGAACCAAUCCUCGAUCUUGGAUUUCUAACCUCCAGAACGCUCUGAUGAACAUACACCAGUAGAGGACGAAGAGCCAAAGAAAAGCACCACUUCAGCUUCUACUUCAGAAGAAAAAAAGAAGAAGAAGACGAAGUCUAGUCAUUCGAAAGAAAGACCCAAGAAAAGGAGGAAGAAAAAAUCAUCUAAAAGAAAACACAAGAAGUAUUCUGAUGAUAGUGACAGUGACUCUGAUUCUGAAACAGACUCCAGUGAUGAAGAUACAAAGGAAAGCAAAAAAAAAAAAGCCCAGCAAAAGAAAAAGAAGAAACACAGAUGAUCAGCCUGGCAGUUUCACAUGAGGAAGACAGUAUGAAGAAAGCCAAGGUCUGACCGCUUCUUUUCAGUGAUCCAUUAAUCUGGAAUAUUAAUCAGGGCCUCCCUCUUGCUUCGAGCAGCAGUAAACCAAAAUGUUCCCUUUUAGUGUUUAAUCGUCAGAUCUAGGGUCCUUUCAAGGACACUGAAUGAGACAAAAUACAUUUGAAGGCAUAAUUGUCACUUCUGAGCCGGGGAAGACACAACAAUAUGGCUCCUGUGGUGGGGGGAGGGGUGAAAAGGGAGAAGAGCCUCUUUCUGGCCUCGAUGGAGGCUCCUCUUGUGUUCCCUUUGAAGCAGCAGUUCCUUUGGGCCAGAAUGGUUUGUUCCCCUAUAUCCUUCACAAAAAGGGAGGGUAGUGAACAGAAUCUGGAGCAUCUAGAACAAAACUAGGUGAAUAUUUGUAUGCUACCUUCCCAUAAAGCCCUAUGAAUAGUAAUUUCUUAGGAAGGUUCCUUUAGAGUCCAGGCUUGUGCCUGAGCUCCUCAUCAUGAAUGGAGCUCGGCCCCAUUUUGCAGCACACUGUUCUCUCACUAGCGACUUUUCCCACCUCAUCUUACAUGUGUAUGUAUCUGAGAAGUGCAGGGUCUAGUGAUAGUGCUUAGGGACGUCACCUCAUGAAAAGAGACCUUCUUGACAUUCCUUAGCAAUUCUUAUCCAUAUAAUACUAACCCCAUUUGGCACAUAAAAACAAGUAUACAAGAGAAUCACAUCUUUACUGAAAAUACAAAAAAUAUGCCCUAUUAAAAACACAGUGCACUGUUUUCAUUUAUUCAAUUCAUUUAUCAGGCAUUUGGUGAACUGCUCUUGAGGUGCUAUGAAAAAUUUCAAUCUGGCAAAAAAAUACUUUGGAAAAACUCACAGAAAACAUGCCUUACAAGCUAGGGACUAGAAAAUGAAUGCUGAUGACAGGGACCCAUGCCAGGCCAAGCAAAGCUAAGCCAAAGGAAGGCACAGGUGGAGGAGGCAAAGGCAGACAAGGCAAGGAUGGCAUGGGUGGCCCAGGUAUUUGGGGCUGCAGUGGCACCAGAGGAACCCAACUCCAGUUGGGCUCCAGAAUAAAUAUGGCAUUAUAGGGUCCAUCCAGGAUUAUGAUGACAGGGUGACCCAUGGCCAUGGGGGAUGUAUUUCUGAGAAUUAAACCCCUCUGAUACCUCCAACACUUGGCCCUCCCAUUCUUAAACCAAAACUUCAAUCAGAGGGAAAAAAGGGAUUGGUUUAGUAUAUUGAACAGUUAAUGUCUUAAUAGAAAAACACAACGUGCAAAUCUAUAUGCUAUUGAUGAAAUGGAAGAAACUAUUUCAUUAUUGCUCAAAUAUCUUAGGAAAGUUAAUACUGCACCCCUCCCUUCAGCCCACCCUUAGUGAUCGUAGGCUAUACGUGCCAAGCUCUGGUCUAGGCUUAUUGCUUUGUUCCUGUCCUCCCACUUUUAGUACUCUUUAACUAUUUUCCAUGUCCUACACACAAACCAGCUAGUGAAUUGCACUGUGUCCUUGCUGUUAAUGCUUUGCCUGGUAACAGGGUAAAGACAUGUUAGUGUUCUGACAGCAGUCCAGCUGCUCUGCCCCUCCUCACUAGGGACAGUGUCACCCUGGUGAUGGGGGGAGCUGAGCAUGGUAAAAACUCAACCCCUUUCAAAGUCAUACUGAGGGAAGCAGCCCCUAUUUUAAAACCCCAUCUUCAGUCUGAAGUAAAUAAUAGGAAGGAACAUGUUGGAUUUUUAGACAGAAGGCUUCCUUCAAGGAUGACUAAGGGGUCAUUCACCCUCUGAAACAUCUUGAGAGUUAGAAAGGUGGUCUGGCAAGGGGGCCCAGGGGGGUUGUGACUUGUCUUACUGGGACGUGAGAGUUGCUGAAGAUCUGGUCACUGCCUUGAUAUCUUAGUCUUUAAUGCUAAAGAAAGUUCAACCUAACUAGGUUCAACUCCAUUCAAACCCAGUUUAUGCCCAGCCAAUAACUUGGAGGGAAAGAGGCAGACCACUGUCAAUUCUGCAUGUGCCAACCUGCCCUCAUCCUCCAGUCUUCGUGGGCUGUCAGCUAACCCGGUUCUACCUCCAGGUUCAGGAUUCUGGCUGGAAGGUGAUGUUGCCGGAGUAGGUCCUGCCAGCCCUACUCCUCAACUAGGAGAUCCCAACACCAACAAGAGUUCUAAGGCAGGAGAGUGGAACUAGGCAUUUUAGAACAAGGUCAACAACAGUGUGGCACCCCCGUGUUCACUGCAGCAUUAUUUGCAAUAGAUAAGGAAACAACCUAAUUGUCUAUCCACGGAUGAAUGGAUAAAGAAAAUGUGUAUACAGGCACAUGUCAGAGAUAUUGUAGGUGUGGUUCCAGACCACUGCAACAAAGCGAAUAUCGCAAUAAAGUGAGCCACACAGAUUUUUUGGUUUCCUAAUACAUGUAAAAGUUAUUUUUACACCAUACUGUAGUCUAUUAAGGUAUGCAAUAGCAUUAUGUCUUAAGAAACAACAUAAAGGGCAUCCCUGGUGGCCCAGUGGUUAAGAACCCGCCUGCCAAUGCAGGGGACAUGGGUUCGAGCCUUGGUCUGGGAAGAUCCCACAUGCCACGGAGCAACUACACCCACGUGCCACAACUACUGAGCCUGCGAGCCACAAAUACUAAAGCCCGUGCACCUAGAGCCCAUGCUCCGCAACAAGAGAAGCCACUGCAAUGAAAAACCCGCGCAAUGAAGGGUAGCACCCGCUCACUGCAACUAGAGAAAGACCGCACACAGCAACGAAGACCCAACACAGCCAAAAAUAAAUAAAUAAAUAUUUUUUUUAAUUUUAAAAAUACCACAACGUAAAUACCUUAAAAAUACUUUAUGGGUGAGGAGAUUCAAGAUGGCGGAAGAGUAAGACACAGAGAUCAACUUCCUCCCCACAAGUACGUCAGAACUACAUGUGGAACAACUCCUACAGAACACAUACUGAACGCUGGCAGAAGACCUCAGACCUCCCAAAAGGCAAGAAACUCCCCACGUACCUGGGUAGGGCAAAAGAAAAAAGAAAAAACAGAGACAAAAGAAUAGGGACGGGACCUGCAGCAAUGGGAGGGAGGUGUGAAGGAGGAGAGGUUUCCACGCACUAGGAAGCCCCUUCGCGGGCGGAGACUGCGGGUGGCGGAGGGGGGGAGCUUCGGAGCCACGGAGGAGAGCGCAGCAACAGGGGUGCGGAGGGCAAAGUGGAGAGAUUCCCGCACAGAGAACCGGUGCCGAACAGCACUCACCAGCCCGAGAGGCUUGUCUGCUCACCCGCUGGGGCGGGCGCGGGGCUGGGAGCUGAGGCUCGGGCUUCGGAGGUCAGAUCCCAGGGAGAGGACUGGGGUUGGCAGCGUGAACACAGCCUGAAGGGGGCUAGUGCGCCACGGCUAGCCGGGAGGGAGUCCGGGAAAAAGUCUGGAGCUGCCGAAGAGGCAAGAGACUUUUUCUUGCCUCUUUGUUUCCUGGUGCACGAGGAGAGGGGAUUAAGAGCGCAGCUUAAAGGAGCUCCAGAGACGGGCGCGAGCCAUGGCUAUCAGCACAGACCCCAGAGAUGGGCAUGAGACGCUAAGGCUGCUGCUGCAGCCACCAAGAAGCCUGUGUGCAAGCACAGGUCACUAUCCACACCUCCCCUCCCGGGAGCCUGUGCAGCCCGCCACUGCCAGGGUCCCGUGAUCCAGGGACAACUUCCCCGGGAGAACGCAUGGCGCACCUCAAGCUGGUGCAACGUCACGCCGGCCUCUGCCGCCACAGGCUCGCCCCGCAUCUGUACCCCUCCCUUCCCCCAGCCUGAGCGAACCAGAGCCCCCGAAUCAGCUGCUUCUUUAACCCCAUCCUGUCAGCGAAGAACAGACGCCCUCAGACGACCUACACACAGAGGCAGGUCCAAAUCCAUAGCUGAACCCCGGGAGCUGUGCGAACAAAAAAGAGAAAGGGAAAUCUCUCCCAGCAGCCUCAGGAGCAGCAGAUUAAAUCUCCACAAUCAACUUGAUGUACCCUGCAUCUGUGGAAUACCUGAAUAGACAACAAAUCAUCCCAAAUUGAGGAGGUGGACUUUGGGAGCAACGAUAUAUAUAUUUUCCCUUUUUCUCUUUUUGUGAGUGUGUAUGUAUAUGCUUCUGUGUGUGAUUUUGUCUGUAUAGCUUUGCUUUUACCAUUUGUCCUAGGGUUCUCU